GCUCUCAGACUUGUAGCCUCCAGAACUACGAGAGAACAAACAUUGCUGCUGCUUGGCCUCCUGGUUUGUGGGCAUCUUUUCCGGCGGCCCUAGGACACUCAUCCGGUAGGCAACCAGUAAUGUCCCCUAUUCAGUAAGGAAAUGCGCUCUCAAGUGGGGACAGAAUUGAAAUUAAAAUAUCCAUCUGAGGGAGCUCUGGAGCCGUCACUUCCUCGGGCCCAGUUUGACUUUCACCAAAUGAUGGACACAUAAUAGCUGUUUUCAGGUGACUCUCUUAACCACCCUUGGAAGGGAUUCUGAUUAUUUCGAGUUUCUGUUCUAUUGAAAUGUGGAUUCAGACCACAGAUUGCCUUUAUUGCAUCUGAAUGCCUUUGACCUGAGGGCUGCAGCUGAAAGUGCAGGAUUCCAAGGGAGAGAGAUGCCAAUUAACCCAUUAACUGUCUCUGACCUGCUCUGACCGUCCCAGUCAGGGUUGGGUGCUGGGGCAGUGUGAUGACAGCUUUAAUGAAGAAGAGUCACCCACGCCACCUGCCACUGUUGACAAUGGGGUACUCCAGGGGACAGGAACGGGGUUGGGUUUUUUUUUUGUUUUUUGGGUUUUGGGUUGUUUUGGUUUGGGGGUUUUGGUUUUGGGGUUUUUUUGUGGGUUUGGUUUUGGUUUGGUUUUUUUUUUUUUUAAUGUUUUUCACAAGACAGGAAGCCGCAAAAUCUGCUAUGCUCUGGAAAUUGAGACUGACAACAUAGAAAUUUUUCAAUCUGUCCAUUACUUCAUGCCAAGCCUCGGAGGUUUGAAUUGUCUUAGCCACUCACUCCUUGAAACUCUCGGCUCUCAGUGUGGUUCCCAGACCGGCACCCUCAGCACCACCUGAGAACUUGUUAGAAAUGCAGGUUCUUAAGGCCCCCAUUCCAGACGCCCUGGAUCAGAAACUCUGCCAGUGCGGUCCAGCAAUCUGAGUUUCAACAAGCCAUCGAGGGGAUUCUGAUGCCCACUAACGUUUGAGAACCAAAACUUGAAUCUAUUGACAUCUGUGGCAAGGCAUUGUCUUAAGGCGCUGGCUGGCCUUCUCGGCCUCUGCUUUCCCACGUCCUCGCCUCGCUCAUUCCUCCUUUAUGCCCCUGCUUGUGUGUGAGUAUGUACGCAUGCGCGCACACCUGCACUCCCGCAGCCUUCAGCGGGCAUCCGGGAAAGCGUGAGCUAUGGUCAGUUCCGUAGGUGGAUCCACAUGAGUCGGAAGCUCCGCUGGGAUGUUAGUUAAGCUCCUUCAGGUUGUAAGCAAAGAUCCUUUUCAGAUUUUUUCAGGUGGCAGCAUUGAUUGUAAAGAAACAAAGAGAAUGCGCAUCUCUUACUACAACAAUCAGGAAAAAACUAUGAGGGUAUUUCUGAGAGAGAGAGAGAGGGAGGGACAGAAACAAAAAGAAGCAAGACAGGAAAUCAUCUCAGUGUCUAGGCUCCAUGGAAUCUUGGAAUGUUCUUCAUGACAAGCAGUGACUCCCAGCCACUCCAGCGGUCCAACAUCGGGUGUCCUUUGCUACUGGCUCUAGGAACUCCACUUGCAUAUGACAGAGCUUCCUACAUCUCUGCCUCGUCCGUGACUAUUGCUGCUUCUCCUCGAUGCCACCACCUACCCUUAGGUGUUAUUGCCAUGAGGGAUCUGCACAUUGCCUUUUUUGCUGCUUUCUUUCAGGCUGGCUGCCAAUGUGGAGUUCCUCUGUCUCAAAGAGCCCCCAGAGACAUCCGAUUGGGUCUCCAGUGUCACUGUGUCAGCAUAGAGCUUUCCCAUUUGGGUGGAGAAUUGCUACAGCCGGUCCAGAGGUGGCAGCUAUCACGUGGGCACCGGUCUCUGAGAGGCUGCACCAGCUUGCAUUCUGUGCUGCAGGAACAAGACCAAAGACACUGGAACCAGGGCAAAAAGCCCUUUCCGCAUGCAGUGUCUCUCUCCCCCCUCCACCAACCCCCCAGGGCCUGCUGCAGGUAAAAUUUCUCAUUUGUGACAGGUGGCAGGAGAAAGGUUUCCAGGGCCCAGCCUCAGCAUCACAUAGCGGGACAAAGAAGGAUGGAUUUGGAGCUCUAAGGAAAUACAUUGAUAACUGGCACAAAUGGGAUAUACUGCAAUGGAAGAGCCAAUAGAGGAUGAUCUACCCACGCAGCUCCACGGACAUCUUGUUCACUACUAGCUGAUGCAUAGCCCUCUGCAGGCCACACCCAGGACAUCUGAUUGCCCCUUCUUUUGAAUAUUACCAGGCGGACUCCGACAGCCCACUUCCGCAAAUGGCCAGGAUGAGCAUCCUUGGGCACGUUCUCCACACACCAGAUCAAAGAUUCGCAGAGCUGCACCCAGGAGUGGGAUUGCUGGGCAUACCACACAGGGAUUUUACUAAGUCCUGCUCAGCUUCUCCCAGAACACUGCACAUUCUACAAUCCAGUCUGUACUGCGCAAGAAUUUCCAUUUGCCUACAUCCUUCUCAACGAUUCUAUCACCUGACUUUCUAAUUCUUCCUAUGUUGUGGGUGUAAAGUGGAAUCUCAUAUAAUUUGCAUCUCUUUGACUAAUAAUAGUGAAGUUGAGCAUUUCUUCAUAUUUUCCCUUUUAUAUCCUUGGCCCAUUCUGCUGCUGGUUUCCUGACAUUUUUUUGGUUAAUUUCCUUGUGUAUUCUAGAUAAGAUAUCAAUAAACUCUGCUGUAAAGGGCCCAGAGAGUUAGCAUUUUCGGAUUUGCAGGCCGUAUGUUCUCUGUGGCACCAGCUCAACUCUGCUGUUAAAGCAUGUAGCAGCUAUGAUGAUGCCUAAGUGAACGAGCAGGGCUGUGUUCCAAUAAAACUUACACAAAAAGGUGGCAGGGCAGACCUGCUGCCAUUUGGCUUCAAGCCAUUACAGGACAGAGCACAGAAUUUGAAAUCAGGCAAGCUCUAAGUGGUAAUUCUCUAUUGAACAUGGUUUAGCUCCUGUUUCUUCUUCUUAAGAUUUUAUUUUUAAGUAAUCUCUGCACCCAGUGUGGGGCUCAAACUCAUGACCCUGAGAUCAAGAGUCACAUGCGCUUCCAACUGAACCCCAUUACCUACUAUUUCUUGAAUACCUGCUGACUCAAGACUCUUGGUUUCAAGCACCAAAAACCCAACUCAAACAACAUCAAUUUAGAAACUAUAUACAUAUUGGCUGGAAAUGUAUACAGCAGAAAAGGUAUGAAGAAAUCUGUGUCAUUGAAAUGAACUGGACGCUUAACCACCAAGCCACCCAGGUGCCUCAUACCGGUUAUAUUUUUAAAGAAAAUUUAUUAUUCUUUCUUGCUUAAAGUGAGUUUCAAUUUGUAUCACCACAAUAAUACAACAGAGCAGAGCACCCCAAAACUCAGGGGCUUAAAACAAUGGGUAUUUACUCUUGGCAAAUGUGCGUGUGUCUGUUGAGGUUCAGCCGAUCUGGGCUGUGGCAGCUUUGUUUCUCACUGCAGGUGGAGGCUUGGCUCCACGGGUCUCUCCUUCUCCACAGUGCGGUCUGCUUUGCCAGGGGCCUGUUCGUCUAACAGUGACAGCAACAGUGCAAAGGGCAACCGGAAAGAGGCGAGGCCUCCCAAGGCCUAGGCCUUCAAUGGGCAUAUAGCCAAGCUUGAAGUCAAGGAGCAAGGGGUUUACUCUAUGCACACUGAGCCGAUGGAAGGGUGUUGAAGCAGAGAGGAUGGAAGAUUCGGAGUCAUCGACUCCAUCUACCAAGAAGAGGGUGAAAUCUAAACUCCAUUCCCUAGAUUUCGAAGUCUCCUAUUGUCUGGUCUCACUCCAUUCAUCCAGUCCUACCCCCGACUUUGGGUUAUUCAUCUUGGACACAGUUCAUGGACCUUGGGAAUCUUCUAGAAGCCGGACAAGAUUGGGCAAUCCCAGAUAGCAAACCGUCUUCCAACUGCAGGCCAAACUUAGCUUGCUGCUGCUUUCCCACCGCACAAAAAAGAGGGGGGAGUUUUAUGGGUCUGCUCGUUAUCGGGAGUGUUUAUAAAACAAACAAAUGUUAAACAAUUUCUCCUCUAGGAAAUAAACCAAGCCAGAGAUCUUCUUUAUGAUCUUUUAUUUUAGUUCUUUGGGGGAAAAAAAUCUCCAGGAAUUAUUUUCUCAAUAAACAAUGGCAACAGUUUAUUUUUGUGGGAUUGACUUGAAUCCUCCCCCACUUUCUUUUUUUGGAUUAAGAGGUUGACUACAGAAAUGAGAAAGAGAUGGUUUUUUAUUCUUUUUUGGUAUGUGGUUUCUCUGACUGGAAAAUAAAAGCUCUGCAUUCUUUCUGUAUUCAGUGCACUUCAAAGUUAUAAAAAUUUAGAUAAAGUACAUCAGGGUUAUGGUUGUUCUAGAUUUCAGUCUAUUUAUAACUUCCUCAUAUUUCACAUUAGUUUGACCUCAGGUUAAAGGAAUGCUUUUGAAAAGUAUAAUGAUUUGAUCCUAGCAAUGGAUAUAGCAAAAAUACUGGGGUCAAUAAGUUAAAUUAAAAGGCUUAAAAUAAAAAAAAGAAGAAGAAGAAGAAGAAGGAAAAGAAGAAGAAAAAACUAGAUCUGGCAAACUUUAAGUUUAGGACUGCAUGACAAUAGGAGAAUUUCCCAGCCAUGUUCUCAUAAAAGAAUUAUGGUGUGAAAAAUCUUUUUCAAAGCUUGCCAGAGUUAAAAAGGUUGAACUAGAAGAAACUAAUUUCCAAAUACUCUGACUCAUUUCCACAGCUUACAUAGGGAUUUUCUCUGGAUUUGUCUUUAGUACCUUUACAUAUGUGUUUUGUUUCUUUUCUUUUCCACCAAAGUCUGAAUAAUGUCAAAUGAGUUGGAGUUUCACAAUAUUACCUAAAAUAUAUGCUUCAAUAAUUUUUGAGAGGAAAAGAGCAAGUUUCAAAACAUAUAUAUACAUAUAUAUAUGAUUUUUUAAAUAUAUAUAUGAGUGCGUGUAUCUAUAUCUGUCAAUCUAGAGUGAAAAAGAGAUAUACAUUCACACAUUACACAGAAAAAUGUGUAAGAACAUGUCUAUAAAGAAGAUACCAGAAUAUUAACGAUUACCUUUGUGUGUUAACUUUCUCUCCAUGCCUAUUUACUUGUUUGCAUAUAUCUAAAUUUGUUUCUAACGAACAUAUAUCAUUACCU